AUUGAACGCUGGCGGCAGGCCUAACACAUGCAAGUCGAGCGGUAACAGGAAGGUGCUUGCACCUUUGCUGACGAGCGGCGGACGGGUGAGUAAUGCCUAGGUAUCUGCCCAGUCGAGGGGGAUAACAGUUGGAAACGACUGCUAAUACCGCAUACGCCCUACGGGGGAAAGGAGGGGACCUUCGGGCCUUUCGCGAUUGGAUGAACCUAGGUGGGAUUAGCUAGUUGGUGAGGUAAUGGCUCACCAAGGCGACGAUCCCUAGCUGGUCUGAGAGGAUGAUCAGCCACACUGGAACUGAGACACGGUCCAGACUCCUACGGGAGGCAGCAGUGGGGAAUAUUGCACAAUGGGGGAAACCCUGAUGCAGCCAUGCCGCGUGUGUGAAGAAGGCCUUCGGGUUGUAAAGCACUUUCAGCGAGGAGGAAAGUUUAAGUCUUAAUACGGCUUAGAUGUGACGUUACUCGCAGAAGAAGCACCGGCUAACUUCGUGCC
rnacentral:rRNA from 1 species